GCUUAACACAUGCAAGUCGAACGAUGAAGCCCAGCUUGCUGGGUGGAUUAGUGGCGAACGGGUGAGUAACACGUGAGCAACCUGCCCCUGACUCUGGGAUAAGCGCUGGAAACGGCGUCUAAUACUGGAUAUGUCCCGUCACCGCAUGGUGUGCGGGUGGAAAGAUUUUUCGGUUGGGGAUGGGCUCGCGGCCUAUCAGCUUGUUGGUGAGGUAAUGGCUCACCAAGGCGUCGACGGGUAGCCGGCCUGAGAGGGUGACCGGCCACACUGGGACUGAGACACGGCCCAGACUCCUACGGGAGGCAGCAGUGGGGAAUAUUGCACAAUGGGCGAAAGCCUGAUGCAGCAACGCCGCGUGAGGGAUGACGGCCUUCGGGUUGUAAACCUCUUUUAGCAGGGAAGAAGCGAAAGUGACGGUACCUGCAGAAAAAGCACCGGCUAACUACGUGCCAGCAGCCGCGUUAAUA
rnacentral:rRNA from 1 species